rnacentral:rRNA from 1 species
AUUAGCUAGUUGGCGAGGUAAUGGCUCACCAAGGCUACGAUCGGUAGCUGGUCUGAGAGGAUGAUCAGCCACACUGGAACUGAAACACGGUCCAGACUCCUACGGGAGGCAGCAGUGAGGGAUAUUGCGCAAUGGGGGAAACCCUGACGUAGCAACGCCGCGUGGGUGAAGAAGGCCUUCGGGUCGUAAACGGCUAACUCCGUGCCAGCAGCCGCGGUAAUACGGAGGGUGCGAGCGUUGUUCGGAAUUACUGGGCGUAAAGCGCGUGUAGGCGGCCUUGCAAGUCAGGCGUGAAAGCCCUCGGCUUAACCCCGGAAGUGCGUCUGAAACUGCUUGGCUUGAGUACGGGAGAGGGAGGCGGAAUUCCCAGUGUAGAGGUGAAAUUCGUAGAUAUUGGGAGGAACACCGGUGGCGAAAGCGGCCUCCUGGACCUUUACUGACGCUGAGACGCGAAAGCGUGGGGAGCAAACAGGAUUAGAUACCCUGGUAGUCCACGCGGUCAACGAUGGGCACUAGGUGUGGGGGGUAUCCACUCCUCCCGUGCCGAAGCUAACGCAUUAAGUGCCCCGCCUGGGGAGUACGGCC